rnacentral:lncRNA from 1 species
AUGCUUUGUUCAUGGAUAAGUUGGACCCUGCUUCACCAUGACAGAAAACUGUGGACCUGCUGCCUCACAGGGAAAACCCCGGACUCUCUCAGACCUUCCUUCUGUUCCUCCUUAGGCUGUCGCAGGAGCCCAGAAAGGGAACACAGCUCCUCACUCUCGAGGUGGUCUUCUCUCCCUCUGAUUACUCAUAUUGCCCAAACAGGAAGGUACAGAUAUGGUUUUUCUCCUUUUUGGUCUGCCGCAAACAUGCCUACACUGCUGAGAACAUUAAAGCUUCAAAGGCACAAGGAUUCCUGUUUGGAAUGCACAGCUCUUGUUGGAGUACUCCUGCGGCCUCCUGCCAGUGUCUGCCCUUACAACAAUGAAACAGUCAGUGGAGCCCACCCAGCCCCUUGACCAGCAGAGAUGCGAUUGCAUACCGAGAUUCCUCAAGAGCUCCUAGCACCAUCUGUGUUCUUAAAGGCACGCCUUGAUGGUAGCUCUGAGAAGACUCAUCUCCAG